AGAGUUUGAUCAUGGCUCAGAAUCAACGCUGGCGGCGCGCUUAACACAUGCAAGUCGCACGAGAAAGUGGAGCAAUCCAUGAGUACAGUGGCGUACGGGUGAGUAACACGUGGAUCAUCUACCUCUUGGUGGGGAAUAACCCUGGGAAACCGGGGCUAAUACCGCAUAAGCCUGCGAAGGGAAAGCAGCAAUGCGCCGAGAGAGGAGUCCGCGGCCGAUUAGCUGGUUGGUAGGGUAACGGCCUACCAAGGCAAUGAUCGGUAGCCGGCCUGAGAGGGCACACGGCCACACUGGCACUGAAACACGGGCCAGACUCCUACGGGAGGCAGCAGUGGGGAAUCUUGCACAAUGGGGGAAACCCUGAUGCAGCGACGCCGCGUGAGCGAUGAAGCCCUUCGGGGUGUAAAGCUCUUUCGGCAGGAACGAUAAUGACGGUACCUGCAGAAGAAGCUGCGGCUAACUACGUGCCAGCAGCCGCGGUAAUACGUAGGCAGCAAGCGUUGUUCGGAAUUACUGGGCGUAAAGAGUGUGUAGGCGGUUCUCUAAGUUCCGUGUGAAAUCUCCCGGCUUAACUGGGAGGGUGCGCGGAAAACUGGAGGGCUGGAGUAUGGGAGAGGAAAGCGGAAUUCCUGGUGUAGCGGUGAAAUGCGUAGAUAUCAGGAGGAACACCUGCGGUGUAGACAGCUUUCUGGACCAUCACUGACGCUGAGACACGAAAGCGUGGGUAGCAAACAGGAUUAGAUACCCCCGUAGUCC
rnacentral:rRNA from 1 species